rnacentral:lncRNA from 1 species
UGAAACUGCUCUGAAUUUGGAUGAAAUUGUCAGAAUAGUGAAAAUCAAAAUCGUGGGUAAAUCUAAAUGAAGUACAUGUUUCUGAGCAAACUAAUAAGAAAACAGAUAAAAAUAAAUAAGAUAAAGAGAUAACAAACUAGAAAAAACAACCAACAAAAUAAUAAAAAUAAUAGUGCAUAAUAAAUGAAAAACAAAACAUAAAAGUCUCAAAUAUAAAAUAAAACAACUAACAAAACAAAAAUAAAAAAAUAAAAAAGAAAUAAAAGUACAACUAGAAAUAAAAUAAAUAAAGUAGAGAAUUAAAUUAGGUCAUGGAUACGCAUCGUGUGAGAUGUUGAUAUCGUGAGGCGCAUGACCGAGUGGAGAGAUAUGGAAAUGCUGGCAGAUCUGCUGCAAAUAUGCCUCAAUGGUAUCGAGUUGUACUAAAUGUUACUGCUAAGUAUGAUAAAUAUCGUCGAGUAUGAUAGAAAGCGUGGAUGCAGCGGUUAAUUGGACACAGCUGCAAAUACGCCUCUCUGUAAUCGCUCACUCUGACUAUGAAAACACUGGGUUACAAAAUGGGCUAGAUUAAUUGGAUGUUGUCCAUGCGUGCUCUAUUAGAAAAAUGCAUCUAAAGUGCCCAUGAAGCUUGUACUUUCUUUUUAGCCAGUCAAAGUAUGAGCUAGGAUAGCGUGAAUGUAUCGCAAGGCUGAAAGAAAGCAGCGAGCCAUAAACUGGCUCGGGUUAUAUGGAACGGUAACCUCAGAAAUCUUUGACCAGCAGAGAGAGGCCCGCAUAAUGGAUGCGUCGUAAGAGGGAGAAAAGUUCGGUCAUUGCUAAGAAGUCAUCAAAGUAUAGGUCGAUAGCGACACCAAAACCUGUAAUACUAAAGUGCCAAGUGAUACCCCCAAGAUGGAAUGAUAUAACUCGUGGAUCAUCCCCCAACGGUAGCACUAUUUGUAGAAAAAAAGGUAGAGCAAAACUCCAAAGUGAGCUGAAUAUAGGUCGGCUCUGCAAUCGCGAAAAAUUGUUCCCAUGGAGUCGCAACCAAGAGUGAAUAAAUCAGUGCGAAUAAACCCAUAGUCUAAACGACUUCCCAAUCGAUGCACUGAUCCACACCCAAUUCUCUGUCCUUCAAAUAUUGAUACCUCUCCUUAUGGGGUGGGUGGUCGAAGGUGAGGUAUCGGUGGUGAAUGGUCGCAAUUGGAGAGGAUGAAAAGGAGGUCCUAGUGGCUUUUCUUUUCUUGGAAUGAAUGAUGACCUUGCUCUUUCCUCGUGUGUUCUGCAUCAUGUACCUAAAAAACAAAAAAUGAAAAAAUCAUCAGAGGCUUAGAAAAAUUAGCACCACACAAUAACGAGUCUAGCAAAUAAAGUCAACAUAUGAAUUGAAACACAUCGACAAACGAACAAUCUCAUGCGAACAAAAUUUACUCCUAAUAUGAAAC